UACAGAGGGUGCAAGCGUUAAUCGGAAUUACUGGGCGUAAAGCGUGCGCAGACGGUUGCGUAAGUCAGAUGUGAAAGCCCUGGGCUCAACCCAGGAAGUGCACUCGAAACUGGCGGGCUUGAAUAUGGAAGAGGGUCGCGGAAUUCCCGGUGUAGAGGUGAAAUUCGUAGAUAUCGGGAGGAACACCAGUGGCGAAGGCGGCGACCUGGGCCAAUAUUGACGCUGAGGUGCGAAAAGCGUGGGGAGCAAACAGG
rnacentral:rRNA from 1 species